GCCAAACAGCUAGCUCAAUUACCCAAUAACUAAACAAUAUAAAUAAAACAAAAUAAGCCUAACACCAAAAAUUAAAUCAUUCUUUUACCUUAGUAUGGGCGACAGAAAAGGUUACACCUGGAGCAAUAGAAAAAGUACCGCAAGGGAAAGCUGAAAGAGAAAUGAAAUAACUUAUAUAAGCACCAAAAAGCAAAGAUUAAAUCUUGUACCUUUCGCAUCAUGAUUUAGCCAGUAUACCCAAGCAAAGAGACCUUUAGUUUGAAACCCCGAAACCAAGUGAGCUACCCCGAGACAGCCUAUUAAGGGCCAACCCGUCUCUGUGGCAAAAGAGUGGGAAGAGCUCCGGGUAGAGGUGACAGACCUACCGAACUUGGUGAUAGCUGGUUGCCUAAGAAGUGAAUAGAAGUUCAGCCUCGUACUCCCUGAAUCAAAAGAUAUAAAAAGAUAUUAGAGGGAAAUAUAUGAGAGUUAGUUAAAGGGGGUACAGCCCCUUUAACAAAGGACACAACCUUUCCAGGAGGAUAAAGAUCAUAAUACAUAAGACAUCCUGUUCUAGUGGGCCUAAAGGCAGCCAUCUAAACAGAAAGCGUUAAAGCUCAGACAGAAAUAAGUUUAUUAUUCCGACAAGAAAUCUUACUCCCCUAAAUAUUAUUAGGCCAGCCCAUGCCCACAUGGGAGAGACUAUGCUAAAAUGAGUAACAAGAAGGCCAGCCCUUCUCCAAGCACAAGUGUAAGCCAAACCGGACCGACCAUUGGCAAUUAACGAACUCAACCCGAGAGAGUAAUGUGUAUUACAACGAAACCAGGAAGAACCCACAAUUAACCCAUCGUUACCCCCACACUGGCGUGCUAUUAAAGGAAAGACUAAAAGAAGGGAAAGGAACUCGGCAAACACAAGCCUCGCCUGUUUACCAAAAACAUCGCCUCCUGCAACACAACCAAGUAUAGGAGGUCCAGCCUGCCCAGUGACUACAAGUUCAACGGCCGCGGUAUUUUGACCGUGCAAAGGUAGCGCAAUCACUUGUCUCUUAAAUGGAGACCUGUAUGAAUGGCUAAACGAGGGCUUAACUGUCUCCCCCCUCCAGUCAGUGAAAUUGAUCUACCCGUGCAGAAGCGGG
rnacentral:rRNA from 1 species